AUGGUCAAUGUUGUCACUCACCCUGGGCUUAGAACUGUCUAUGGCUCUUCAGGAUUCAAUCUAAGAGAAAAGCCCCAACCUGGUUUGAUCCUAGAAUGCCUGGCGAAGCCUGGCCCCUCCUUUCCCACACCGGUGCUCAGGGCAGCUUUGAGCGGCCCCUCCUUUCCCCACACUUUCACUCAGGGCAGCUUCGAGAACGUCCUGCAGCUGCCUGGACAUGGCUUCUGUGCGUGUCCACUGCUGUUCCCUCUGCCGUCUCUCUCUGUGCGUGUCCACUGCUGUUCCCUCUGUUGUCUCUCUCUCUGCGUGUCCACUGCUGUUCCCUUUGUCUCUGUCGUGUCCACUGCUGUUCCUCUGUUCUCUCUGUGUCCACUGCUGUUCCCUCUGUUGUCUCUCUGUCCGUGUCCACUGCUGUUCCCUCUGUUGUCUCUCUCUGCGUGUCCACUGCUGUUCCCUCUGUUGUCUCUCUCUGCGUGUCCACUGCUGUUCCCUCUGUUGUCUCUGUCCGUGUCCACUGCUUUCUCUUUGUCUCUCUGUCCGUGUCCU
rnacentral:lncRNA from 1 species